AUUGAACGCUGGCGGCAGGCUUAACACAUGCAAGUCGAGCGGAGAGAGGUAGCUUGCUACUGAUCUUAGCGGCGGACGGGUGAGUAAUGCUUAGGAAUCUGCCUAUUAGUGGGGGACAACAUUUCGAAAGGAAUGCUAAUACCGCAUACGUCCUACGGGAGAAAGCAGGGGAUCUUCGGACCUUGCGCUAAUAGAUGAGCCUAAGUCGGAUUAGCUAGUUGGUGGGGUAAAGGCCUACCAAGGCGACGAUCUGUAGCGGGUCUGAGAGGAUGAUCCGCCACACUGGGACUGAGACACGGCCCAGACUCCUACGGGAGGCAGCAGUGGGGAAUAUUGGACAAUGGGCGCAAGCCUGAUCCAGCCAUGCCGCGUGUGUGAAGAAGGCCUUAUGGUUGUAAAGCACUUUAAGCGAGGAGGAGGCUACUUUAGUUAAUACCUAGAGAUAGUGGACGUUACUCGCAGAAUAAGCACCGGCUAACUCUGUGCCAGCAGCCGCGGUAAUACAGAGGGUGCAAGCGUUAAUCGGAUUUACUGGGCGUAAAGCGCGCGUAGCGGCUAAUUAAGUCAAAUGUGAAAUCCCCGAGCUUACCUUGGGAAUUGCAUUCGAUACUGGUUAGCUAGAGUGUGGGAGAGGAUGGUAGAAUUCCAGGUGUAGCGGUGAAAUGCGUAGAGAUCUGGAGGAAUACCGAUGGCGAAGGCAGCCAUCUGGCCUAACACUGACGCUGAGGUGCGAAAGCAUGGGGAGCAAACAGGAUUAGAUACCCUGGUAGUCCAUGCCGUAAACGAUGUCUACUAGCCGUUGGGGCCUUUGAGGCUUUAGUGGCGCAGCUAACGCGAUAAGUAGACCGCCUGGGGAGUACGGUCGCAAGACUAAAACUCAAAUGAAUUGACGGGGGCCCGCACAAGCGGUGGAGCAUGUGGUUUAAUUCGAUGCAACGCGAAGAACCUUACCUGGCCUUGACAUAGUAAGAACUUUCCAGAGAUGGAUUGGUGCCUUCGGGAACUUACAUACAGGUGCUGCAUGGCUGUCGUCAGCUCGUGUCGUGAGAUGUUGGGUUAAGUCCCGCAACGAGCGCAACCCUUUUCCUUAUUUGCCAGCGAGUAAUGUCGGGAACUUUAAGGAUACUGCCAGUGACAAACUGGAGGAAGGCGGGGACGACGUCAAGUCAUCAUGGCCCUUACGGCCAGGGCUACACACGUGCUACAAUGGUCGGUACAAAGGGUUGCUACCUAGCGAUAGGAUGCUAAUCUCAAAAAGCCGAUCGUAGUCCGGAUUGGAGUCUGCAACUCGACUCCAUGAAGUCGGAAUCGCUAGCAAUCGCGGAUCAGAAUGCCGCGGUGAAUACGUUCCCGGGCCU
rnacentral:rRNA from 1 species